CUUGUAAACAGGGAUUGUUUGGGCAUACUGUGUAUUAUCACUUUGUUUUUCCAAGCAGAGUCCAUGGCAGACUACAUCAGUCCUGGAAGGUGAAUAAAAAUACAUGACAGCCUGCUGUCUGCUUCCUUAGCCUCCCUCAGGGAUCUGAACAUACAGUGACUCUCAGCAGAAGAUCCUGAAUAUUUAUGAAGCCCUUAAACAAUGCAAGAACUGAAGAUAUUUUUCUAAAAUCUUCUUAAAGACUAAUCAUUUGAAGAUGAAGAAAGGAAAGAGCAACAGCACAAAACCCUUUGGUGAAUACCAAGCUUGAUUCAUGUUUGAAGUAGUUACCACAAGUAUGACAACUAUUACUCAGCCUGCUGGACCAGGAAAGAAGUUGCAGAAAUCUCUUGAGAACUCUUAUAAAGGUCAAUUACCUUAUUUUUAGAUUUUUGUCUGGGAAAAUGAGUAUUUUACACCUUCAACAGGCACAUGAAAAAUAAAUGCUACAGAUGCAGUUUCAACACUUAAGUAAGUGCUGAAAGAGGUCUGGAAACAGCUGUUUGACACUGUUGCACCAAGCCUUCCUUUAAAAAGGGCUGGAGUCCUGUGCUGUACCACUAUGAUGAUACGGUUCAACACCAAAGAGAGCUCAAAACACCCACCAACAUCCAGAGUCAAAAGGAAGCCAGAAAGCCUACAAGUUGGUACUGACUCUUUGGAAAUGCACACAGAGCCAGCUUGCUUCCUUUUUUAACUUUCCAUUCUUUGUAUGAUCAAAGUUUCAAGUGAAAUCACAAUGAUGCAAGUUUCUACUUAAGAAAUCCGAGAGGUUUAGUACUCCCCCCACCACCUCUGAACAGCAUAUGCAGUUAAAUGUGGGAUGAUCUUCCCUGCAAGUAAUUUCAAAUCCUCCUAUGCCAGAAUGUAAUUAUUUUUAAAAAGUCACAUUAAUCUUGAAGAAGAACAGAUAACC